GCGGGUGGCGUAGUGGUUAGUGCUACUGUCUCACACUCAGAAGACCUGGGUUUAAAUCCCACCGCCUGCU
rnacentral:tRNA from 1 species